UACGGGGGGGGCAAGCGUUGUUCGGAUUUACUGGGCGUAAAGGGAGUGUAGGCGGUUGAUUAAGUCUGAUGUGAAAUCUUUACCACUCAACGGAAAGAGGUCAUUGGAUACUGGUCAGCUAGAGUAGGCUAGAGGCAAGCGGAAUUCCUGGUGUAGCGGUGGAAUGUGUAGAUAUCAGGAAGAACAUCUGUGGCGAAGGCGGCUUGCUGGGGCCUCACUGACGCUGAGACUCGAAAGCGUGGGGAGCAAACGGG
rnacentral:rRNA from 2 species